CGCUCUCCUGUCAAAUCAUGUAAUUUCGCUUCCUCCAAUGGUAGACGCUAUAACGAUGGGUGUCGUCAAGAUCGGUACAAUUAAAGGAAACAGAUAGGAAUUACACGAUUCCCAUUGGUAUAGGAGAAGAUUUCUGUUUAGGACAAAAUGUCAAGGGCUAAACUGGUCUUUAGAUUUAGCUACAAAAUUAUAUAUUAUGAAGAUCAAUAUUUAUUUUACAAGGAUGCUCUAAAAGGAAGAUAGACAGCGAUUUUAUCAAGCAGUUCCGGGGAUGGUUUACGAACCGAUUCUUUAACAUCGCGGUUUAUAAGAGACUCGUGAGCCUCGUCUAGGGCAAGCUGCUGCCAUGCCCUACCUGUUACGCUGGCAGAAAAACCUCCAUUUUGAAAGCACGUUAAAAUUUCUCGUGGAAGUUCUGCUAUGUCUGCCAGAUGUCUUGGAAUUAUUCUCAAGUACAUAUGUCUAUCAAAGGCAUGGAACAAAGGGUUGAGGCUUUUCAGUGAUGCUAAUCUGAGAUUCCAAUUUGAACUACGGAAAGCAAUAUACAAAGAUAUGUAGGAGAAACAAUCUCUAUGAAUAAAAUUAUUCCAAAAUAGGAACGUA